rnacentral:tRNA from 1 species
GCUGGUAUAGCUUAGCUUGGUAGAGCACAUUCUUGGUAUGAAUGAGGUCCCUAGUUCAAAUCUAGGUAUCAGCA